CAACACCCACCAGGCCACCACAUAGAGAACGCCUGAAGCCCUGAACGCACUUACCUCUGUCGCGCCUUCAGCACCGUCACGCCGUCAGCACCAUCGCGCCGUCAGCUCCGUGGCGCCGUUGGGUCCGUCGCGCCGUCAGAUACCUCGCGCAGUCAGCACCGUCGCGCCCUCAUCUCCAUCGCGCACUCAGCUCCGUCGCGCCCUCAGCCACUUCGACCAGUCACCUCCGUCGAGCUCUGAGAGAAAGCAAUAGAGUUCGGUUGAAGCGUUAAAUAGGUGAAGCCUGAAGCCUCAAGGUGCCUUCGAGCUCUGAGAGAAAGCAAUAGAGUUCCAGCAUUCAUAAACACUUUUGGCAUAUUGGUAAGUGAAGUUGAACACUUUGUUGAAGGAAUAUAUGACUUGAUGCAUGUGAAAUUGUGAAGGGUGAUGUUUCAGGGUCUCUGGUGGAGUUUGACAGGGCAAUUGAGUUGGACCCUCGUCAAAAGGCGUAUCUUUGGCAAAGGGGCCUCUCCCUUUACUACCUUGAUAGAUUUGAAGAAGGAGCUGAGCAGUUUCGGCUAGAUGUUGCACAAAAUUCGAAUGAUACCGAAGAGUCCAU